UACGGGUAAAACCUAAAACUCAAAAGACUUGACGGUGUUCCAAUCUACCUAGAGGAGCCUGUUCUAUAAUCGACAACCCCCGAUACACCAAACCACUUUUUGAACCAUCAGCCUAUAUACCGCCGUCAAAGUUUACCUUUUAAAAGACUAAAAGUAAGCUAAAUAGUAAUACACUAAUAAAUCAGGUCAAGGUGUAGCACAUAGGGUGGAAGAAAUGGGCUACAUUAUUUAUAAUAAAUAAGCAGAUUAUUAUACUUUGAAAAAGAAUAUAAAGUUGGAUUUAGUAGUAAUUUAAAUAAGAAUAUUUAAAUUAAUAAUAGCUCUGGAACAUGUACACACCGCCSG
rnacentral:rRNA from 1 species